GACAUAGGUGGCGAACGUUAUCCGGUUUUAUUGGGCGUAAAGGGUGCGUAGGUGGUUUGUUAAGUCUGUUGUGAAAGCCCCGGGCUCGACCUGGGAAUGGCAAUGGAUACUGGCAAGCUAGAGUGCGGUAGAGGGUAGUGGAAUUCCCGGUGUAGCGGUGAAAUGCGUAGAGAUCGGGAGGAACACCAGUGGCGAAGGCGGCUACCUGGACCAGCACUGACACUGAGGCACGAAAGCGUGGGGAGCAAACAGG
rnacentral:rRNA from 1 species